rnacentral:sRNA from 1 species
AAGCAAGUACGUAAUCGUUUUUCUACAAUCCGACUUCUAGGCGAUAACCGCUUCGAUAAAGGAUUACAAUUUUGGUUUGAAACAAGGCUCUAAAUGUAAAGGUUUUCUAAUAUUCUGCUACAUUCUCUAUUUUCCGAUGCACUAGUUGUACAAAAGCUAUACUUUUCUUUGAAUAUAAUUUAACAUUAUUUUCAAAAAAAAAAAAAAAAAAUUUUUGCUUGGUAUCCAAAGAAGUUGCAGGUAUGAUUCGACCCUAGGACUUUGCCAUAUUCUCCUUUAAAAUCUCACCCAGGUAAAUUAAUCGGUGCAAGUAACACAUUGAGUUUAGAAUUAUUUUUGUUCAGUCAAAAUAUAUCUAAAAACGUUAAACAAUAUCUAAUAAAUCAGUAUAGUGAAAAUAUAGGUAAUGACCUAGAUUAGAGUCACUCCACAUAUCACUU